rnacentral:lncRNA from 1 species
AUUAAGGCCAUAUCAGUUUUGUAUUUUGUUAUUACGCAUACUGGUUAUCAGUGUUUACGCAUUCUAGUUUGCUAGUUUAGAGAUUAUAGAGAGUUGAGAGAACUUGAGAGAAUUUGAGAUAGAGCUUGUGCAGAGAAGAACAAUUCCAGAGUGUUUAGCAAGGAUUUCUUUUAAGCAACAAAAUGUAUGUUCUAAUACCCUUAUUAUACAUAUAGGAAGUUACGGCAUAGCUUUGUUUGUAUUUUGUGAAAUCAAAAUUGGUGAAUUAUGGAUAUAUACUUGGUAAUUAUGAUGAUACGUGUUUAUAAUGCUAGAGUUUAUGUCAAACAAGGAAAUCGCAUGUUAAUUUUUGGAUAACAGUAGAAAAUUUUGACAGUAUAUAUAUUUUCACAUGGUUCAUGAAAAGUAUCAAUUUUA